AGAGUUUGAUCCUGGCUCAGGAAUGAACGUUGGCGGCGUGGGAUUAGGCAUGCAAGUCGUACGCACAGCUUCGGGCUGUGAGUGGCGCAAGGGUGAGUAAUGCGAAGGUAACCAACCCUGGAGUUGGGCAUAACCGCGGGAAACUGCGGGUAAUUCCCAGCGAUGUCGCGAGAUGGCAUCAUCUUGCGACCAAAGGUGUGAUUCCGCUCUAGGACGGGCCUUCGUGGUAUUAGGUAGUUGGUGAGGUAACGGCUCACCAAGCCGACGAUGCCUACCGGGUGUGAGAGCAUGACCCGGCACACUGGAACUGAGACACUGUCCAGACACCUACGGGUGGCUGCAGUCGAGAAUCUUCGGCAAUGGGCGAAAGCCUGACCGAGCGACGCCGCGUGAGGGAAGAAGGCCUUCGGGUUGUAAACCUCUUUCGUAGAGGAGGAAGGGGCCGUGCAGAGCGGUCUUUGACCUAUUCUAGGAAGAAGCUUGGGCUAAGUUCGUG
rnacentral:rRNA from 1 species